rnacentral:rRNA from 1 species
GACGUAGGGCGCGAGCGUUGUCCGGAUUUAUUGGGCGAAAGAGCUCGUAGGCGGCUUGUCGCGUCGGCUGUGAAAACCCGUGGCUCAACCAUGUGGUCUGCAGUCGAUACGGGGCAGGCUAGAAUUCGGUAGGGGAGACUGGAAUUCCUGGUGUAGCGGUGAAAUGCGCAGAUAUCAGGAGGAACACCCGGGUGGCGAAAGGCGGGGUCU